GAUUAUGGCUCAGGACGAACGCUGGCGGCAUGCCUAACACAUGCAAGUCGAACGGGGGUAGCAAUACCCUAGUGGCGAACGGGUGAGUAACACAUAAGCAAUCUGCCCUUCACAGGGGGAUAACAGCGGGAAGCUGCUGCUAAUACCGCAUAAGACCACGGUACCGCAUGGUACAGGGGUAAAAACGAAUCAGUGGUGAAGGAUGAGCUUAUGUCCCAUUAGCUAGUUGGUGAGAUAACAGCCCACCAAGGCGACGAUGGGUAGCCGACCUGAGAGGGUGAUCGGCCACACUGGAACUGAGACACGGUCCAGACUCCUACGGGAGGCAGCAGUGGGGAAUAUUGGGCAAUGGAGGAAACUCCUUACCCAGCAAUGCCGCGUGAGUGAAGAAGGUCUUCGGAUUGUAAAGCUCUUUGAUUGGGGACGAAGAAAGUGACGGUACCCAAAGAGCAAGCCCCGGCUAACUACGUGCCAGCCGCAGC
rnacentral:rRNA from 1 species